AAUAUCUCGUACCAAGAUCUGGAUUGAACACUCUUAAUUUAGACCGUAAAAUCCAAAAAAUAGCUGAACCUAAUAUUCUCUGAACAAUCAGAAAUGAAAAUAUCUCGUAUCAAAAUCUGCAUUGAACACCCCCUAAUUUAGACUGUAAAAUAUAAAAAAAUGGCUGAAUCUAAUAUUCUUUAAACUUAUCCGAAACGAGAAUAUCUCGUACCAAGAUCUGGAUUGAACACUCUUAAUUUAGACCGUAAAAUCCAAAAAAUAACUGAACCUAAUAUUCUCUGAACAAUCAGAAAUGAGAAUAUCUCGUAUC
rnacentral:lncRNA from 1 species